UUGGAGGGCAAGUCUGGUGCCAGCAGCCGCGGUAAUUCCAGCUCCAAUAGCGUAUAUUAAAGUUGUUGCAGUUAAAAAGCUCGUAGUUGAAUUUCGGGAUUUAUCCGUCGGUCGGGCUUUUGGGUCUGUACUGGCGUGAUGGAUUCCUACCUUCUGAAUAACCGGCAUGUCAUUAAUUUGGUGCGCCGGGGAAGCAGGACUGUUACCUUAAAAAAAUUAGAGUGCUUAAAGCAGGCUUAUGCCUGAAUACAUUAGCAUGGAAUAAUGAAAUAGGACGGCAUGGUUCUAUUUUGUUGGUUUCUAGGAUCACCGUAAUGAUUAAUAGGGAUAGUUGGGGGCAUUAGUAUUCAAUUGUCAGAGGUGAAAUUCUUGGAUUUAUUGAAGACUAACUUCUGCGAAAGCAUUUGCCAAGGAUGUUUUCAUUAAUCAAGAACGAAAGUUAGGGGAUCGAAGACGAUCAGAUACCGUCGUAGUCUUAACCAUAAACUAUGCCGACUAGGGAUCGGACGAUGUUAAUUUUUUAAUGACUCAUUCGGCGCCUUACGGGAAAC
rnacentral:rRNA from 1 species